rnacentral:rRNA from 1 species
CCUACGGGAGGCAGCAGUGGGGAAUAUUGGGCAAUGGGCUCAAGCCUGACCCAGCAACGCCGCGUGAAGGAAGAAGGCUUGCGGGUUGUAAACUUCUUUUGUCAGGGAAGAGGAGAAGACGGUACCUGACGAAUAAGCCACGGCUACCUCCGUGCCAGCAGCCGCGGUAAUACGUUGGUGGCAAGCGUUGUCCGGAUUUAAGGGGUGUAAAGGGCGGGUAGCCGGGGUGACAAGUCAGAUGUGAAAUCCUGCGGCUUAACCGCAGAACUGCAUUUGAAACUGUUGAUCUUGCGUACUGGAGAGGCAGACGGAAUUCCUAGUGUAGCGGUGAACUGCGUAGAUAUUAGGAGGAACCCCAGUGGCGAAGGCGGUCUGCUGGACAGCACCUGACGGUGAGGCGCGAAAGCGUGGGGAGCAAACAGGAUUAGAUACCCUUGUAGUC